rnacentral:rRNA from 1 species
UACAGAGGGUGCAAGCGUUAAUCGGAAUUACUGGGCGUAAAGCGUGCGUAGACGGUUAUGUAAGUCAGAUGUGAAAGCCCCGGGCUCAACCUGGGAAUUGCAUUUGAGACUGCAUAGCUAGGGUGCGGAAGAGGGAAGCGGAAUUUCCGGUGUAGCGGUGAAAUGCGUAGAUAUCGGAAGGAACACCAGAGGCGAAAGCGGCGACCUGGACAGGUACUGACACUCAACUACGAAAGCGUGGGGAGCAAACAGG